AUUGAACGCUGGCGGCAUGCCUUACACAUGCAAGUCGAACGGCAGCACGGGAGCUUGCUCCUGGUGGCGAGUGGCGAACGGGUGAGUAAUACAUCGGAACGUACCCUGAAGUGGGGGAUAACGUAGCGAAAGUUACGCUAAUACCGCAUAUUCUGUGAGCAGGAAAGAGGGGGAUCGCAAGACCUCUUGCUUUAGGAGCGGCCGAUGUCGGAUUAGCUAGUUGGUGAGGUAAAGGCUCACCAAGGCGACGAUCCGUAGCGGGUCUGAGAGGAUGAUCCGCCACACUGGGACUGAGACACGGCCCAGACUCCUACGGGAGGCAGCAGUGGGGAAUCUUGCGCAAUGGGCGAAAGCCUGACGCAGCAACGCCGCGUGGGGGAUGAAGGCUCUCGGGUUGUAGACCCCUUUCAGCAGGGACGAAUCAAGACGGUACCUGCAGAAGAAGCCCCGGCUAACUACGUGCCAGCAGCCGCGGUAAU
rnacentral:rRNA from 1 species